rnacentral:rRNA from 1 species
GAUGAACGCUGGCGGCGUGCCUAAUACAUGCAAGUCGAGCGAACGGACGAGAAGCUUGCUCCUCUGCUGUUAGCGGCGGACGGGUGAGUAACACGUGGAUAACCUACCUAUAAGACUGGGAUAACUUCGGGAAACCGGAGCUACUACCACAUAAUAUUUUGAACCGCAUGGAUCAAAAGUGAAAGACGGUUUUGCUGUCACUUAUAGAUGGAUCCGCGCUGCAUUAGCUAGUUGGUAAGGUAACGGCUUACCAAGGCAACGAUGCAUAGCCGACCUGAGAGGGUGAUCGGCCACACUGGAACUGAGACACGGUCCAGACUCCUACGGGAGGCAGCAGUAGGGAAUCUUGCGCAAUGGGCGAAAGCCUGACGGAGCAACGCCGCGUGAGUGAUGAAGGUCUUCGGAUCGUAAAACUCUGUUAUUAGGGAAGAACAGAUGUGUAUGUAACUGUGCACAUCUUGACGGUACCUAAUCAGAAAGCCACGGCUAACUACGUG